GACCAGUAGCGCCGCGACGCGUACCACCUCGCACGUGGUGUAGAGCGUGGUGCGAAACCUCGCCUGGUCG
rnacentral:tRNA from 1 species